GAUGAACGCUAGCUAUAGGCUUAACACAUGCAAGUCGAGGGGAAACGGCAUUAUGUGCUUGCACAUUUUGGACGUCGACCGGCGCACGGGUGAGUAUCGCGUAUCCAACCUGCCCUUUACUUGGGGAUACCCCGUUGAAAGACGGCCUAAUACCCGAUGUAAUUCAUUGAUGGCAUCAGAUAUGAAUAAAAGAUUUAUCGGUAAAGGAUGGGGAUGCGUCUGAUUAGCUUGUUGGUGAGGUAACGGCUCACCAAGGCGACGAUCAGUAGGGGUUCUGAGAGGAAGGUCCCCCACAUUGGAACUGAGACACAGACCAAACUCGUACGGGGGGCAGCAGUGAGGAAUAUUAGGCAAUGGGCGCAAGCCUGAACCAGCCAAGUAGCGUACAGGAAGACGGCCCUAUGGAUUGUAAACUGCUUUUAUACGAGAAUAAUUUGAUGCACGUGUGCGUUAUUGCAUGUAUCGUAUGAAUAAGGACCGGCUAAUUCCGUG
rnacentral:rRNA from 1 species